GCCGCCUUAACUCAGUAGGUAGAGUGGCUGGCUGUUAACCAGCAUGUCACAGGUUCGAGUCCUGUAGGCGGCG
rnacentral:tRNA from 1 species